AUCAAUUUGUAGUACGAAGUGUUUUGACUCGCGCAUCUUUCAGCAGCUCUUGGCUCGUAACAAUCCACCGUGCUCCAGGAAUUGGGCGACCGAAAACGUACCGGCGACAGAGGCGAAAAUGUAGUAAAGAGUCCAGGCAAUAAUAAGAUUGUAGUACAGCAUGACAAUCGAACUGAUAAGGACCAUUCCAUACCCAAGGCCUCGGAGAAGUGGAGAGAAACGUUUAUAAGCGGCUACCGGUCCUAAGCUCGCAUACUGACCUUGAUUUUUUGAAACGAUCGUGUUAAAUCCUACUAAAUCCCCUCGUCGCGCUUCCAACUCGCUUUCCCCUCAGCAUCGCACGGGUGGAAAACAAAUGAGGAAAAAAACGGGGGAACCCGACGUCAAAGUGAUGGGAAAAAAAUACUGGUCGUUAGCAGGACUGCGAGAAAUUCAACUUCGUGUUGAGGCUGAAGGUCGAAACCUCGCGUUUCAGUUAACGUUUUGAGAAACAUUUUAAAAAGCUUGAAUAAGAGGUUGAAGCAGAUUGUGAAUAGACUUUUUCGGGUUUUCGGUAUUGAGAGUCCCGAUGGAGAGCAAACAAUAGAUUCGUCGAGCUUUGUGAGAUUCACGAGGAGAGAUUCUCAGUGAAAGAGACUUUUUGCAGAUCGAUACCGAGGGACUCGAGGUCGAGAAGCCAAGAAAAACCGGAUUCUUCGUCCGAGUUUUCAGAAUCCUCAGAAUCGUAAUAACAAUAAUAAUAUAAAGUGUUUUUACUAUAAAAAAGAAAAAUAGAAGGACUGUAAUCGUGAUUAAAGUUAAACUGUCUACGAGCAAACGUGAAAGAAUCAAAGAGCAUCGAAUAAAUGAGA